CACAGUCCCAUACUCCCAUUAUCCUCUUCGCUUCUCGCCGCCUUAUCCUCCUCUUUGGAAAUAUACUCUCAUAAAUAGCAGGCCAAACAAUCCCCGGCGUACAAUACCAUGAUAUUUGGUUCA